GGGUCAGUGGGUUGGUCGUGCCACCGGUACGUACUGGUCUCACUGAUUCCUCCUUCCUGAAGAACCGUAAUGCCAUUAAUUUGGUGUUGCGGGGAAGCAGGACUGUUACUUUGAAAAAAUUAGAGUGUUUAAAGCAAGCUAACGCUUGAAUACAUUAGCAUGGAAUAGUGAAAUAGGACGAUCGAUCCUAUUUUGUUGGUUUCUAGGAUUGACGUA
rnacentral:rRNA from 1 species